GCCCCCGAGGCUACACCUCAUCCAUCCCACCAUGUCUCUGGCCUGUGUGUCCUGGGGGGAGUGCCUGAGGGAGCUUUGGGGAUGCAGCCCCAGUCAGGGGCCACCGUAAACAAGAGGGUGAGUUCUGGGAAGGGAGGUGAUAGGUGACCACAGAGGAUGGGAAGCAAGCCAGAGGCAGCCUGAGCACCAGGGGAGGCACUGUCGCUGGACGUGGUGGGCAGUAUCGACGUGCGGUCCGUGAGGCAGAGGCUGCCUGUCUUGUGGAUGCUCCACGGUUCUCACCUGGAUUAUCCCAGAAUCCUCCGAGGCCAUCUCCUUGGGGCCAGUCUCCCACUACUCCUGUUUGUCUUUCAUUCUGCAGCCGGAGAUACACACACUCACAGAGGCCUCUCCGAGCAUCUCGCAGCGAGUUGGUGGGCAGGAAAACCCUCCAGAAAGGUGGUGGUGAUUGGGGUGGGGGGCAGAGAUCAAUAUGACUCCCAUCACCAAUAUCCCAACUUCUUCACGUGGCGCCCAAGGCCCUUCAUGAGCCCCCUCUAAGACACCUCCCCAAUCUCCCACCCCGGCUUCCACCCGCGUCCACUACCCCUACUUACACCCAGCUGCUCUCUGAUCCCUAAACAUACCGCUCUUCUCAUAAUCCCUUGCUUUUCCUAAUGCUGUUCCUUGCCCACAGAAUCCUUGUCUUCCCAGCAAGAUUUUCCUCAGGUACUUUAAGACCCACCUGAGAUUUCACCUUUUUAGCUGAACAGCCUUCCCCUCUCUGCCCCUACACCAUCUCCACUCAAGCAGAAUUCAAGCCUUCCCCCUCAGGGCACCCACAGCACCUGGUCUGGCCCUCACCGUGGCCUAGGGGGGUCUCCUUGGCUGGACUCUGAGUGCCCGAGGGCAGGAAGCUGUCACACCAGUUCCUUUGUCUUCGUGCGGACCCCCAACACCCGUUGCACAGUCGUCAAUAAUGCCCAGUUGAUGUGGGGUCAUGGGCCAACAAACAGAGCUCUGUGGACUCACAUUCAAGACUCAGACAGUUUUCCUCAGCCUUUAACAUUUUAAAUUUGAAAAUAAAAAGCACCAGACACCUGCCUUUAUGUCGGAGUCUGAAAAGAAUGAUCAAAAUGAUGAAAAUGUGGAAAUGGACGAGGACUUCACAAGCAUGGCUGAGCAAAAGGAUGUCUGCUGGAGAUUAGCAUCCUGUCAAUUCAGUUCCCAAGAGAAACAAUAGUCUGAAUGGCUAAAGCCCUUUUAAAGGGAACUAAAGCCCACUCAUCUUAACCUCCGCCCCAAAUGCAUGAUCUCCGAGAGUCCUUCAGGAAGCAGGUAUAAACACCAUUGCAGACAAGUACCUUCAGCUCAGAGGGGCUUCUAAGAUGGAAGAAAUAUGGAGCAUGGGGAGGCAGCAAGGACUGAAGAGAGAAAAAAGGAAAUCAAGGAGAAAGACGGUAUCCGGGAGGUGAGAAGAGGACCAGAAGGCUUGACGAUAAAAACACAGAGCUUCAUGGAACCCAUAGUCCUGUCAGAGGAGAAGGGAUCCCGUCUAAGGACUAACUGUGGCCCAAGGACCCAGAAAACAGAAGCGGGAGGCGAGAAGUGCUCGUCUUCGGGACGUAGAGCUGAAUAAGCAAGCCUGCAUUUUUGCAGUUCUCUGGUUAAUUUCAAGCCAUAAAAAUAUGGUCCGAGACUCUGUAAAAAUAUUCCUAAAACAUUCCACAUGCUUCUCAAGGCGGAGGGUAAUUGUUAUGAACAAAUCUCCACAAAUUCUAGCGCCAAGAGCAACAAAAUGAGAAUAAAGAAGGAAGAAGAAAUGUGAAAAAGGGGGCUAGUCAGAACGCAGAACGACAAUGCGGGCAUCCUCCCCUCCCAGCAAAACCAGAGGGCAGUGGAACUUUACAGCACCUCGAAGGCCUACUGUGAUGGAGAAAGAUCCAGCAAUAUAGUCCUAAAGGAUAUUCUCAUCAUGGAGAAAGCUCUGGAGCACUGCUGAGUGAACUUCCUGUAGGUCGGAUCAUAACUUUGCAAACUCAGUCCUUGAGAUCUGGGACUUGGAGGGACAUCAGCUAGGUCAACCCCACUGUGUCUCUGAGACCCUUCCACGUGGGCUGCUUCAUGAGGAGCCUACACACCAAAAGCAAGAAAUCCAACAAGAUGUUAAUAGCAGUUACCUCCGGAGCAUGGGUUAAUGGUAACUUUAUUUCCUUCUUUAUACAUUUCUGUAUUUUACAAGUUGUACAGUAAGUCCCAUACAUGGGAACCUUCUAGUUGCGAACUUUCAAAGAUGCGAACGUGCAUUCCAUCAACGUCAGGUGUGAGUGAAAUUGCAGCUUGCCCUCCAUCCCCUAUUGCUGACGAUCCUUCAGCCCUACCACCUCCUACCUCCUUUCCCUCCUCCCAUCAGUAACUCUCCUUGCCUGUUCACUGAUGCCAGCCCCUCUAUGCCAGCUGUUGUACUGUACUAAUGUACUUUUCAAAGUACUGUACUGUAAGAUUAAAAACGUUUUCUUUA